AGGAGAAGGAGCAGAAUCGU
rnacentral:siRNA from 1 species